ACUCCUACGGGAGGCAUCAGUGGGGAAUAUUGGACAAUGGGGGGAACCCUGAUCCAGCCAUGCCGCGUGUGUGAAGAAGGCCUUAUGGUUGUAAAGCACUUUAAGCGAGGAGGAGGCUACUGAGACUAAUACUCUUGGAUAGUGGACGUUACUCGCAGAAUAAGCACCGGCUAACUCUGUGCCAGCAGCCGCGGUAAUACAGAGGGUGCGAGCGUUAAUCGGAUUUACUGGGCGUAAAGCGUGCGUAGGCGGCUUUUAAGUCGGAUGUGAAAUCCCCGAGCUUAACUUGGGAAUUGCAUUCGAUACUGGGGAAGCUAGAGUAUGGGAGAGGAUGGUAGAAUUCCAGGUGUAGCGGUGAAAUGCGUAGAGAUCUGGAGGAAUACCGAUGGCGAAGGCAGCCAUCUGGCCUAAUACUGACGCUGAGGUACGAAAGCAUGGGAGCAAACAGGAUUAGAUACCCCUGGUAGCGACUGA
rnacentral:rRNA from 1 species